UGAGUUAAAGCCCGCUGGCUAGGGUGCUUAGUUGUUAAUUAAGGUUUUAUGGGAUCAAGGCCCGUUAGCUC
rnacentral:tRNA from 1 species